GCCGGGCGUUGUGGCGGGCGCCUGUGGUCCCAGCUACUUGGGAGGCUGAGGCAGGAGACUCGCUUGAGCCCAGGAGUUGGAGGUUGCUGUGAGCUGUAAAGCCACGGCACUCUACCCAGGGGGACAGCUUGAGGCUCUGUCUAAAAAAAAAAAAAAAAGACAGAGUCUCACUUUCUUGCCCUGGUAGAGUGCAGUGGUGUCAUAGUUCACAGCAACCUCAAACUCUUAGGCUCAUGAGAUCCUCUUG
rnacentral:sRNA from 1 species